GAUGAACGCUGGCGGCGUGCCUAAUACAUGCAAGUCGAGCGAACAGACGAGUAGCUUGCUCCUCUGACGUUAGCUGCGGACGGGUGAGUAACACGUUGAUAACCUACCUAUAAGACUGGGAUAACUUCGGGAAACCGGCGCUAAUACCGGAUAAUAUAUUGCACCUCAUUGUUCAAUAGUGAAAGACGGUUUUGCUGUCACUUAUAGAUGGAUCCGCGCCGCAUUAUCUAGUUGGUAAGGUAACGGCUUACCAAGGCGACGAUGCGUAGCCGCCCUGCGAGGGGGAUGGGGCGCGAUGGAACAGAGACACAGUAAAAACUCCUAAGGGAGGCAGAAGGUGGGAAUCUGCCGAAAUGGGCAAAAGCUUGACGGAAAAACGGAGCAUGAGAGAAGAAGGGUUACAAGUAGUAAAACUCUGUUAUUAGGGAAGAACAAAUGUGUAAGUAACUAUGCACGGCUUAACAGUACAUAAUCAGAAAGCCAAGGCUAACUACGUG
rnacentral:rRNA from 1 species